UGAGGAAGAGAUAAUGCUGCCAUCCCUAGAAACCUUCCGAAGAGGACUGCAGAGUACAUCCAUGAAAGUUUCAUUGAGAUUUCUCAGGUGGUUUCAAG